GAUGAACGCUGGCGGCGUGCCUAAUACAUGCAAGUCGAGCGAACAGACGAGGAGCUUGCUCCUCUGACGUUAGCGGCGGACGGGUGAGUAACACGUGGAUAACCUACCUAUAAGACUGGGAUAACUUCGGGAAACCGGAGCUAAUACCGGAUAAUAUAUUGAACCGCAUGGUUGAAUAGUGAAAGACGGUUUUGCUGUCACUUAUAGAUGGAUCCGCGCCGCAUUAGCUAGUUGGUAAGGUAACGGCUUACCAAGGCAACGAGGCGUAGCCGACCUGAUAGGGUGAUCGGCCACACUGGAACGGAGACACGGUCCAGACUCCUACGGGAGGCAGCAGUAGGGAAUCUUCCGCAAUGGGCGAAAGCCUGACGGAGCAACGCCGCGUGAGUGAUGAAGGUCUUCGGAUCGUAAAACUCUGUUAUUAGGGAAGAGCAACUGUGUAAGUAACUAUGCACGUCUUGACGGUACCUAAUCAGAAAGCCACGGCUAACUACGUG
rnacentral:rRNA from 1 species